AAAAAGGGACAAUGCUGUUAAUGAGGCAUAUUCAAUAAUUCUUAUACUCGUGAAGAGUGUGGCAACUCCCAAGUAGUUAAUGAUGGCACUCAUUUUUAAUCAGAUCCUCACUUCUAGGAUGUUUUCCAUGUUCUUGUGAAAAGUGUUUUACAUGGCACCAUUCAGCUACAAAUACUUUGCCGGUGGAACUGUGACAUCAAUCAACUGCUCAUGCCACUGCUAAUUGGCAGAAUUUCCUUUGGGACAAGCAAACUGUUUCAAAUAUUUCACACCUGCAAGUAGUGAUGAGUGUACUGGAAGUUUUUUCGGGAUCUUGUCUGACAUCAUAGGUACAACUGAUCACUGUGCUUUCUUGGUUAUAUAAGCAGGCUUAUUGUUAAAGCGGUGACUUAUGUAGCUUCAAAUGAUGCUUGACUGUUUAAGUGUUUUUCUUCGAUUUAUAAGUAAACCUUGAUUGAUCUCUGAUGCAGUAAUAUAGAGCCAUGUCCAUUCUUUAAUAUUCCAUCAUCCCACUGUCACAAAGUACUGAAAUAAAAAUGAUUUUGAUUUAAAAAAA